UACGGGGGGAGCAAGCGUUGUUCGGAUUUAUUGGGCGUAAAGAGCGUGUAGGCGGCUAGAUAGGUCCGUUGUGAAAACUCGAGGCUCAACCUCGAGACGUCGAUGGAAACCAUCUGGCUAGAGUCCGGAAGAGGAGAGUGGAAUUCCUGGUGUAGCGGUGAAAUGCGCAGAUAUCAGGAAGAACACCCGUGGCGAAGGCGGUUCUCUGGGACGGUACUGACGCUGAGACGCGAAAGCGUGGGGAGCGAACAGG
rnacentral:rRNA from 1 species